GACGAACGCUGGCGGUGUGCUUAACACAUGCAAGUCGAACGGUAAGGCCCUUUCGGGGGUACACGUGUGGCGAACGGGAGAGUAACACGUGAGUAACCUGCCCUCAUCUCUGGGAUAACAGUCGGAAACGGUUGCUAAUACUGGAUAUGAGUUUGCACGGCAUCUUGUGGGUUGGAAAGAUUUUUUUUGGUUUGGGAUGGACUCGCGGCCUAUCAGCUUGUUUGUGAGGUAGUGGCUCACCAAGGCUUCGACGGGUAGCCGGCCUGAGAGGGCGACCGGCCACAUUGGGACUGAGAUACGGCACAAACUCCUACGGGAGGCAGCAGUGGGGAAUAUUGCACAAUGGACGGAAGUCUGAUGCAGCAACGCCGCGUGCGGGAUGACGGCCUUCGGGUUGUAAACCGCUUUCAAUUGUGAAGAAGCUUUUUUGUGACGGUAGCAGUAGAAGAAGCACCGGCUAACUACGUG
rnacentral:rRNA from 1 species